rnacentral:tRNA from 1 species
GGCUCAAUGGUCUAGAGGUAUGAUUCUCGGUUUGGGUACGAGAGAUCCCGAGUUCAAAUCCCGUUGAGCCC